UACGUAGGGUCCGAGCGUUGUCCGGAAUUAUUGGGCGUAAAGAGCUCGUAGGCGGUCUGUCGCGUCGGCUGUGAAAACACGGGGCUCAACUCCGUGCCUGCAGUCGAUACGGGCAGACUAGAGUUCGGUAGGGGGAGACUGGAAUUCCUGGUGUAGCGGUGAAAUGCGUAGAGAUCGGGAGGAACACCAGAGGCGAAAGCGGCGACCUGGACAGGUACUGACACUCAACUACGAAAGCGUGGGGAGCAACAGGG
rnacentral:rRNA from 1 species